GAAUAAUCUCAAUCAACUACUUUGGUAGUGAUUGGAAUUGGAGGUCUGCAGUUCUCGGAGCUGCUCCUCCUAAAUGACUUAGCUAGUUGGUGAUGAGCCGCUGUUAGCUUGAUAUUUGAUGUCUAGGCUACAGAGGUACAUGUGCCUCAGCUUCUAAUCGUCUCUGGACAAU
rnacentral:misc_RNA from 1 species